UACAGAGGCCCCAAGCGUUACUGAGAAUCACUGGGUUUAAAGGGUGCGUAGGUGGCGCGUUAAGUCCGUUGUGAAAUCCCUGGGCUCAACCCAGGAAUUGCUUCGGAUACUGGCGUGCUUGAGGCCGGUAGGGGUCACUGGAACUGACGGUGGAGCGGUGAAAUGCGUAGAUAUCGUCAGGAACGCCGAUGGUGAAGACAGGUGACUGGGCCGGAACUGACACUGAGGCACGAAAAGCGUGGGGAGCGAA
rnacentral:rRNA from 1 species